rnacentral:misc_RNA from 1 species
UCUCCGGUGGUGAACCAGCGGAGGGAUCAUUACAGGACUCGCAAGACCCCUACAACCCUGUGAACUUAACUAUAAGCACGUUGCUUCGGCGGGUGUCUCGGAGGGGGUUCUCCCUCCCCGAGACGCUAGACCCGCCGGCAGCCUACUAUACUCUGUCUCUUUGCGUUGGCAUCUCGAGUACAAUCAAACAAGUUAAAACUUUCAACAACGGAUCUCUUGGUUCUG